rnacentral:lncRNA from 1 species
GGUCAGCUUCCACCCUUUUGGGUGGAUGGACCAAACACCGUCGAAAUCUCUUGUGGCCACCAGAUACAUGAGCACUGCCAGGUACACGAACCCAAGCAUAAACGGCAGCAUCAGCGGCAGGGUGAUGAGCCAGCGCGGUGGCGCCGCCGUCGUGGAGCGCUACCCGCGCGAGGCCAGCCUCCAUCGCCACCGUGAGCACCACGAACGCCACCUGCAAGUCUGCAACGCGCACAGAUGACAGAGG